UACGUAGGUGGCAAGCGUUGUUCGGAAUUAUUGGGCGUAAAGGGCGCGUAGGCGGCAUGUUAAGUCGGCUGUGAAAGCCUGGGGCUCAACCCCAGAGGGUCGGCCGAUACUGGCAAGCUAGAGUACGGAAGAGGUAGCUGGAAUUCCCGGUGUAGUGGUGAAAUGCGUAGAGAUCCGGAGGAACACCAGUGGCGAAGGCGACACGCUGGGCCGUACCUGACACUGAUGCGCGACAGCAUGGGGAGCAAACAGG
rnacentral:rRNA from 1 species